AUUGAACGCUGGCGGAAUGCUUUACACAUGCAAGUCGAGCGGCAGCGCGGGGGCAACCCUGGCGGCGAGCGGGGAACGGGUGAGUAAUGCAUCGGAACGUACCCAGUCGUGGGGGAUAACGUGGCGAAAGUCACGCUAAUACCGCAUACGUCCUGAGGGAGAAAGCAGGGGAUCGCAAGACCUUGUGCGAUUGGAGCGGCCGAUGUCUGAUUAGCUAGUUGGUGGGGUAAAGGCCUACCAAGGCGACGAUCAGUAGCUGGUCUGAGAGGACGAUCAGCCACACUGGGACUGAGACACGGCCCAGACUCCUACGGGAGGCAGCAGUGGGGAAUUUUGGACAAUGGGCGAAAGCCUGAUCCAGCCAUUCCGCGUGAGUGAAGAAGGCCUCGGUUGUAAG
rnacentral:rRNA from 1 species